UCUGUGCAUUCAUCUUAAGAUAGCUAGGUGGGACAACCACAAUCAUUAAGCACUUUAUGUACCUAUAUAGCAUACUCUGAUUAAUGAAGUCUCUGAUUUGAGCCUCUAAAGUCUCUUCACCCAAAUUCACUGCAAAAUGUUUUUCAUCCAACAAUGUCACUUGUUAUCAGAUUGCAUAUGGGCAGAGUGGAACAUUUCAUUUGCAGCAAAUAUCAAUAUUGACAAUCGUGACAUUUUACUGUCAACAACAGAAAUAUAAAGCAAUUCACAGGAUGAUUAUUUGCAGUUUAUUAUUCUGUCCUGAGGAAGGGUAUUUCCAUAGAGGAGGUGCUUUGCAUUGGCAGCUCAUGCUUCAGUGCUCUGGAAGUGUUUAUAGCCCUGUGAGUUUCAGACUGCAGGACUGAGAGCUGUCCUUCAACACAACAGAAACCAUGACAACCAUGACUCUGAUCACCAUCUUCAUCUGGACACUGGUCUGCUGCUGCCUCAAAGGAUCCAGAGGUCAGGUGACUGUGACUCAGCCUCCUGUAGUGACAUUUUCUCCAGGAGACCCUGUCACUCUGACUUGUACAACCAACCCUAAAGUGUACAAAUGGGAUAUUGAAAAUGAGGGUGCGUACUGGUAUCAACAGAGACCUGGAGAAGCUCCCAAACUCCUGAUAAGAAACGUAAAGACACGGCUAGAUGGGAUUCCUGCUAGAUUCAGUGGCAGUGGGUCUGAGAGUGACUUCACUCUGACCAUCAGUGGAGUCCAGGCUGAAGAUGCAGCAGUUUACUACUGUAAGAGUUACCACUAUCUCAACAGUAGAAGUAUCUUCACACAGUGAUUUAGAGCCGUACAAAAACCUCCUGCUCGAAAUGACACACAUCACUGGUCCUCUGAACACAGAACUAACGGUCUUGUUAUAUGACAUCACCAAUAUAACCACUUUACAAACUCAGAAAUAAUGGUUACAACCUAGUUUCAUAACUCUUCCAACCUCCCAUGUCUACAAAUAUCCAUCCUUAUCAGAAAGAUGCAGGUGAAAUAGUCCCAUUGAGGAUGAAUAAUCCAUAUCAAGUCAACAUAAAAUCAUGUGUGAAGCAAAAA